rnacentral:rRNA from 1 species
AUUGAACGCUGGCGGCAGGCUUAACACAUGCAAGUCGAGCGGAGCGAGGGUGCUUGCACCUUAGCUUAGCGGCGGACGGGUGAGUAAUGCUUAGGAAUCUGCCUAUUAGUGGGGGACAACAUCCCGAAAGGAAUGCUAAUACCGCAUACGCCCUACGGGGGAAAGCAGGGGAUCUUCGGACCUUGCGCUAAUAGAUGAGCCUAAGUCGGAUUAGCUAGUUGGUGGGGUAAAGGCCUACCAAGGCGACGAUCUGUAGCGGGUCUGAGAGGAUGAUCCGCCACCCUGGGACUGAGACACGGCCCAGACUCUUACUGGAGGCAGCAGUGGGGAAUAUUGGACAAUGGGCGGAAGCCUGAUCCAGCCAUGCCGCGUGUGUGAAGAAGGCCUUUUGGUUGUAAAGCACUUUAAGCGAGGAGGAGGCUACUUAGAUUAAUACUCUGGGAUAGUGGACGUUACUCGCAGAAUAAGCACCGGCUAACUCUGUGCCAGCCGCCGCGGUAA